GCAUCCCCCAUCUGAUCCUUGGUAAGAGUAGUCAUUCUCUGAUGCGAUGCCUCGAUUUUGGACUACAUAGUUGAAAGCGUCCGACAUUAUCCCACCGUCGCAGCCUCGGUCGUACUCUCUGUCGCAGUCUAGAAGCUGUUGUUCGGACAGAGAUACAAGGUUCCCGCCGGCGAUCUUAGCCACACCUUCCACUGCUGCUACAGCCGAAAAUGCCCAGCAACAUCCUGUAGAUAUGGAUAUUUGGUAAGUUGGAUGCCGAUCAUAAUAGAAACGAGACAAAAUAUAAUGACCAAAUCAUCACUGAACCCUACUUACUAUAACCCUAUAACUAACUUGGACAUCAAGUUUAAUAUUUUGUAUCCUCCCAAUUGUUUUCGCCUUUGCAUUGUAUUUGAUUCUAGAUAUUAUACAUGCUAAAUUGUUAUUCUUACUUCUAUGAACCAAAAUGAAACAUAAUUAAUUUAACCAUAUUUGAAAAUUAAUUCUAAAAAUAAAAUUGUAAAUUAACUUGAUAAUCAAUGAAAGAAUAUUACCGCAUUGGCCUUGGUACUUGACAGGAGUGACAGCUCCUUCAGCUCUCCAGUCCUUGCUCUCGACUACCAUGUCACUGACGUUCCAAGUCUGAGACGAUAUCGUUUUGGCGACCACCUUGGAUGGGGAAACUUCAGUUA
rnacentral:lncRNA from 1 species